GCUUAGAUAAGUCUGAUGAAGUGGUGGCUGUGUAGUGAGUGCUUGUUGAAUAUGUAUGUUUUUAGCAUGUUGUAUUAUCAUUGUGAAGUUUAAAGGGAAUAGACAUGACUUUGGCCUGGGUUCACUGCUGUGUUGGAUAACACUUGGCCAUGGAUAAUCCACAUAAAGAGGAACAAUCUGCAUCAGCUGUCUCACUGGGUUGUUGUGGAGCACUUGCAACAUUGAGCCUGCACCCCUGGUUAAGUGGAGCUGCCAUACUAAUUUGGAAGAAGGUGGUAGAUGCCUCGCUGGAUUCACAUUAAUGGACAAUAACACAUUGCAUUAUGGUGCUUUUCAAGGCACCCAACGUGCUUUAUAGUGCUCACCAGUGUGUAGCACCCACCUGGGUGAUGCACAGCAGCCAUUUUCCACCAGAAUACACCCCACAUAUCAGCUUGAGGAAGAGUGAGGGAAUGAAUCCAUGGAGCCACAGCCAUGUCUUCUGUCCUUGCACAAGUUGGCCCAGGUUGUCUUGCUUCAGAAGACUGAACCAGCACAGGGCAAGCAGUUACCAGUCAGUAGCCCCCCCCCCCGAGAUUGGUCCUACUUCUGUGUGCUUGGAGCUGUUCAUCCACCAUGACUGGGGAGGAAGAGAAGCUUGUCGCGGUAAGCUCAACCCUGGACGACCACAGGAAAAACAACAACAGAAUUGACCACUGUCACCAUGCCUCAUGUGGACAAACACCACAGUAUUCCAGCGCUGGAACGCCUAAUAACCCUCUCCUUACUUCUGACAUGACACGCGCAGAGAGAUUCAUGACGUGGUAUGCUAACCAUGUAAUUGAUUCCUCAAACUCUUCCAAAUGUUCUCAGUUCAUGAUUGUUCAAGAAUUCCUGCUCUUUAGUGAC